GACGAACGCUGGCGGCGUGCUUAACACAUGCAAGUCGAACGAAGAGCGAUGGAAGCUUGCUUCUAUCAAUCUUAGUGGCGAACGGGUGAGUAACGCGUAAUCAACCUGCCCUUCAGAGGGGGACAACAGUUGGAAACGACUGCUAAUACCGCAUACGAUCUAAUCUCGGCAUCGAGGAUAGAUGAAAGGCGGCCUCUACAUGUAAGCUAUCACUGAAGGAGGGGAUUGCGUCUGAUUAGCUAGUUGGAGGGGUAACGGCCCACCAAGGCGAUGAUCAGUAGCCGGUCUGAGAGGAUGAACGGCCACAUUGGGACUGAGACACGGCCCAGACUCCUACGGGAGGCAGCAGUGGGGAAUCUUCCGCAAUGGACGAAAGUCUGACGGAGCAACGCCGCGUGAGUGAUGACGGCCUUCGGGUUGUAAAGCUCUGUUAAUCGGGACGAAAGGCCUUCUUGCGAAUAGUGAGAAGGAUUGACGGUACCGGAAUAGAAAGCCACGGCUAACUACGUG
rnacentral:rRNA from 1 species